rnacentral:rRNA from 1 species
UGAGGAAUAUUGGUCAAUGGGCGGGAGCCUGAACCAGCCAAGCCGCGUGAAGGAAGAAGGCGCUAAGCGUCGUAAACAUCUUUUGUCGGGGAACAAAGGUCCGGACGUGUCCGGAUGAGAGUGUACCCGAAGAAAAAGCAUCGGCUAACUCCGUGCCAGCAGCCGCGGUAAUACGGAGGAUGCGAGCGCUAUCCGGAUUUAUUGGGUUUAAAGGGUGCGUAGGCGGUCUGUUAAGUCAGCGGUAAAAGCCCGGGGCUCAACCCGGCGAGCCGUUGAAACUGGCGGACUAGAGAGGGCGAGAAGUACGCGGAAUGCGCAGUGUAGCGGUGAAAUGCAUAGAUAUUGCGCAGAACUCCGAUUGCGAAGGCAGCGUACCGGCGCCUUUCUGACGCUGAGGCACGAAAGCGUGGGUAUCGAACAGGAUUAGAUACC